UACGUAGGGUGCAGGCGUUGUUCGGAAUUACUGGGCGUAAAGGGCUCGUAGGCGGCCAACUAAGUCCGACGUGAAAUCCCAAAGCUUAACUUUGGAACUGCGUCGGAUACUGGAUGGCUUGAAUUCGGGAGAGGGAUGCAGAAUUCCAGGUGUAGCGGUGAAAUGCGUAGAUAUCUGGAGGAACGCCAGUGGCGAAGGCGGCAUCCUGGACCGGCAUUGACGCUGAGGCGCGAAAGCUAGGGGAGCAAACGGG
rnacentral:rRNA from 1 species